rnacentral:rRNA from 1 species
AACGUAGGAGGCGAGCGUUAUCCGGAUUCACUGGGCGUAAAGCGCCAGUAGGUGGUUCGCCAAGUCGCGUGUGUAAGCCCCUGGCUCAACUGGGGGAGGUCAUGCGAAACUGGUGGACUGGAGGACCGCAGAGGCGAGUGGAACUCCCGGUGUAGCGGUGGAAUGCGUAGAGAUCGGGAAGAACACCCGUGGCGAAGGCGACUCGCUGGGCGGUUACUGACACUGAGAGGCGAAAGCGUGGGGAGCAAAC